rnacentral:rRNA from 1 species
AUUGAACGCUGGCGGCAGGCCUAACACAUGCAAGUCGAGCGGAUGAAGGGAGCUUGCUCCUGGAUUCAGCGGCGGACGGGUGAGUAAUGCCUAGGAAUCUGCCUGGUAGUGGGGGAUAACGUCCGGAAACGGGCGCUAAUACCGCAUACGUCCUGAGGGAGAAAGUGGGGGGUCUUCGGACCUCACGCUAUCAGAUGAGCCUAGGUCGGAUUAGCUAGUUGGUGGGGUAAAGGCCUACCAAGGCGACGAUCCGUAACUGGUCUGAGAGGAUGAUCAGUCACACUGGAACUUAGACACGGUCCAGAGUCCUACGGGAGGGAGCAGUGGGGAAUAUUGGACAAUGGGCGGAAGCCUGGUCCAGUGAUGCCGCGUGUGUGAAGAAGGUCUUCGGAUUGUAAAGAACUUUAAGUUGGGAGGAAGGGCAGUAAGUUAAUACCUUGCUGUUUUGACGUUACCAACAGAAUAAGCACCGGCUAACUUCGUG